CUUACAAAACAGGAAUACAAAAGACCCAAAAGAUUUAUUAUUUUCCUUUUCCCUGCUCAUUGCCUUGAAAAACUUUAACAGUAUGGAAAAAUCUGUGUUUUGAAAGCUUUUAGAUUUACUAUCUGCCUUUCUGUGGAGGCAUUGGGGACAAUAUAUGAAUUUUUGUAAGAAAAACAGAUGCUUCCUUCUUAAGCAAGUCGCAGAAGAGACCAUGAUUGCAAGAGAAAUUCUCUAAACCAGCUCUUUAGAAAUUUGGAGUGGAUAAGAACUUCAUAUAUACCUAAAGAAUUCUAUCUGACAGUGCCCAACAGGGAAUGAAGAUAGAACUCAUGGACAUCUAACUGCCUGAAUGCCAUCAGGAUAAACAGAAGCAAAAGAUGUCAUUAUUCCCUAGCUAUAGCUGUGUGUAGACAGGCAUCAGAUGUCUUAGGUUUUACCCUCCAUUAAAUGGAAUUGUGUAGCAAAUGAAAAUUCUUAGCAUCAAACAAAUCUUUAAACUGCAGUAACAUGGAUGUAAAUAUUAUGUGGAUAUAGACAGAUGCUAGCAAUAAUUUUAAAGUAUUCUAAUUGUUUCCCAUUGUACUUGAGAUUUUCUUUAAAAGCUUACUAACAUUUCAUAACUUUACAACAUUUUCUAACUUUAUAUUAGCUGUGGCUUGAGCAGUUUUGACUGAUUUUUGAUGUAUUCUUUAAAAGCGUUUCUCUUUAUACUAGGCUCAUAAAACAGUUUAUAAUUCUUGAAAUAUCAUUAGCCUGACACCAAGAUUAAACUUUGGAAAAAUCUAAAUGUCCCUGAAAAUUGCCACCUGAAGUCAUAAAAUCAUAGAAUAUGCUGAAUUGGAAGGGGCCCAUCAUGAUCACCAAGUCCAACUUCUGGGCCUGCUCAGAACACCCCAAGGAUCACAAUGUGUGCCUGAGAAUGGUGUCCAAACACUCUUGAACUCUGACAGGCUUAGUGUUCUGAAGUCAGAUGUCAACUUUGCAACCAGUUGCAUUUUCUGUAAGUUUGAGCCUUAACUUUACUUCUGAACCCUACUACACUUCAGGCUAUUCAUAAUAUUCAUUCACAUUUGCUAGUCCCAUCGUUUCUUCUCAGGUGUACUCUUGGAAAAGAGCAGGUGAUUGUAUUAAAGUGCUGCAAUCUAACUCUUGCAGUCUGAGUGCCCCAUUGUGGAUAACAAUAACAGUUCAGAAGAGGGUUCUUUUUUGCUCUUCAGAAUCCUUUUGAUUAGGCUGAAAUUGCUAGUGCAUAAUUUAGUUCUGGUGAAUGGUGAAGAGAGUAUCUUUUGAAAAAGAAAGAGAAAGAGAAAAACACUGAUUUUCACAGAAGUGUAUUAAGGAUUUAAGCAUACAUACCUAGAUUCUGAUUUUGAAGUACAUUGAUUGUUUUCUUCUUUUGUUGAGCAUACUCAGCUUCCAGUAAAAUUCAGCUGAGUCAGCAGAUUGUGGCACACAAAGGUGAUUUUUGACAGGUUUUCCUUUAAGAAGAACUGGUAAAUAUAAAUAUAUAGGGUCAUAAACAAAGAAUUCUUUUGAUUUCACAGCUCUCUAAAAUGAAUAAUGCUGAAAAAUAUUUACAGAUGAUAAAGAAAAAAUGUGAUUUAAAAAUGUGAUGACAAAGAAAAAAAUGUGAUUUAUUAUGAGUUUACCAUGAAGAAUGCUUUCUUUUGUUCGCAAAAGAAACAAAAUAGUUAAAAUUAAGCAUAGAACCUAAAAGUUUUAAUUUUUAAAUUUUAUGCAAAGAGUUCCAUUCCUGUAAAAAUUUGUGCUCUAUCUUGAAGAGCCUUUCAGGGACAGAGGCAGCAUACAAAACCACUGAAAAGCUCUGCACUCCAUAUUUCUAGGUAUUUUCUGAAAGUACAGCAGUUGAGAACUUUACACAGGAAGGAGGCAGGGAAAAGGGAUGUUAUCUCCUUCUUGAGAUCUCUGAGACGUGUCUCUGAAAUUGUGGCUCAACAUAAACACAGAAAGUGGACAUAAAACCUGUACCUUAAAAUUUUAAUAAACAUGUGAUUCAUUUGAUUACUGAUGAUGGUUUGACCUUGAUUUCCUAUUCUAAUUUGUAUGACACUGCUCCAGAGUUAUAAAGGGGAACAGCCUU